CGAACGCUGGCGGCGUGCUUAACACAUGCAAGUCGAACGCGAAAGGGACUUCGGUCCUGAGUAAAGUGGCGCACGGGUGAGUAACGCGUAGAUAACCUGUCUUCAUGUCUGGAAUAAUACGCCGAAAGGGGUACUAAUACCGGAUAUCUUGCUUUUCAUAAGUUAUGCAAGCAAAGGUGGCCUCUGCAUAUGCUACUGCAUGAAGAGGGGUCUGCGUACCAUUAGCUAGUAGGUGGGGUAAUGGCCUACCUAGGCGACGAUGGUUAGCGGGUCUGAGAGGAUGAUCCGCCACACUGGCACUGGAACACGGGCCAGACUCCUACGGGAGGCAGCAGUGAGGAAUAUUGCGCAAUGGGGGAAACCCUGACGCAGCGACGCCGCGUGAGUGAGGAAAAGGCCUUCGGGUCGUAAAGCUCUGUCAAGAGGAAAGAAGUGUACAAUGGCUAAUACCUGUUGUAUUUGACGGUACCUCUAAAGGAAGCACCGGCUAACUCCGUGCCAGCAGCUGC
rnacentral:rRNA from 1 species